CAGUGAGGAUGUUUUCAACCACAUGGGGGGAGAGAGGAAAACAAGUCGAGCAAAAGAAAUUGAAAGGGCUUGGCCUCCAUGGUGCCCAUAACAGAACUGAAGUCAUUAAAGAUACCACAAAGCAAAGCGAAGGCCUCAUGAGGAUGUCUGAGCUAGAGGACACACCUCAGGUUUGGAGGAGACAGACUCAAGACGUUCACAUCAGUAAGGAAGAAGGCAGAGCCGGGGAGGCUCUUAGAUUCCAGGUUCUAAAAGCACACCUCUGAGGAAGAGGCUGCCAGACCAGAAGCACCGUUCCUUCAAUUUCUAGUUUGACGAAUCUCGUUAAUGACUAGCAGUUCCAGCCCUGGGGGAGCGAAGAAUCCUCCCCCGUCUGCCAGGAGGUGCAGAGCCAAAGCGUGAAGGAGGAGCAGGUUCUCAGUGGAAGUCCCCCCUCAGAUGCUAAGUUGGACAUCCACAUCAGGUGCUUCUACAAAAAAGCUGACCACCCUCCAUCCAGAAAUUAUUGAAUUCUUGGUGAAAAACAUCAAGGGGAAAGAACACAAUGGCAGAGUGGAGUGCCACAGUGGGGAAGAGGAAGUGCUCCCAAGAUAGGCAGGUGGAUGAGAAGCCCAUUCACAAGAAAG